GCAUAUCAAUAAGCGGAGGAAAAGAAACUAACAAGGAUUCCCCUAGUAACGGCGAGUGAAGCGGGAUGAGCUCAAAUUUAAAAUCUGGCAGUCUUCGAUUGUCCGAGUUGUAAUCUAGAGAAGCGUUUUCCGCGCUGGACUGUGUACAAGUUUCCUGGAUACGGAACAUCAUAGAGGGUGAGAAUCCCGUCCUUGACACAGACUCCCAGUGCUAUGUGAUGCGCUCUCGACGAGUCGAGUUGUUUGGGAUUGCAGCUCAAAAUGGGAGGUAAAUUCCUUCUAAAGCUAAAUAUUGGCGAGAGACCGAUAGCGAACAAGUACCGUGAGGGAAAGAUGAAAAGCACUUUGGAAAGAGAGUUAAACAGUACGUGAAAUUGUUAAAAGGGAAACGAUUGAAGUCAGUCGCGUUCGUUUGGACUCAGCUUAGCCUCGGUUAGGUGCAUUUCCUUAUGAACGGGCCAACGUCCAUGUUGCCUGCUGGAAAAGGGGUAGAGAAAUGUGGCUUCUUCGGGAGUGUUAUAGUCUCUAUUCGUAUACAGUAUAGUGAUAUGGAGUGGUACAGCAUGCUUCGGCGGUGCUUGUGUUGGCAUAAUGGCUUUAAACGACCCGUCUUGAAACACGGACCAAGGAGUCUAACAUGUCUGCGAGUGUUUGGGUGGUAAACCCGAGCGCGGAAUGAAAGUGAUAGUUGGGAAAUUCGCAAGAAUGGCACCGACGCCCCGAGCUGACCUUCUGUGACGCAUCGGAGGUAGAGCAUAUAUGUUGGGACCCGAAAGAUGGUGAACUAUGCCUGCAUAGGGCGAAGCCAGAGGAAACUCUGGUGGAGGCUCGUAGCGAUUCUGACGUGCAAAUCGAUCGUCAAAUGUGGGUAUAGGGGCGAAAGACUAAUCGAACCAUCUAGUAGCUGGUUCUGCGAAG
rnacentral:rRNA from 1 species